rnacentral:lncRNA from 1 species
AAAGGCAUACAACCAAUGUCAACAGAAUAUCUGAAUAAACAACGUACAAAGAAAAAGAAUCCCAUCCAACAAGCCUGGAGGUGAUUCUUAACAAAAAGAUCCAAGAGAUGGCUUACACGCAAAUGAAUCCCAUCCAACAAGCCUGGAGGUGAUUCUCAACAAAAUACAAUCAGAGAUACAAACUAAGACAGACGGUCUUCCGGAAUGAGGGUCUUCAGGUAAUGGCACUGGUCGAUCAACAGUGAGCAUUCUGAACAAUCUGGUAAAGGAGUGAUCUUCUCUUUCAACUGUCUUCUCAGCUUCAAGACUUCUCCUCCAAGGUGGUCCU